rnacentral:rRNA from 1 species
GACGAACGCUGGCGGCGUGCUUAACACAUGCAAGUCGAACGAUGAAGCCGGAGCUUGCUCUGGUGAAUUAGUGGCGAACGGGUGAGUAACACGUGAGUAACCUGCCCUUGACUCUGGGAUAACUGCGGGAAACCGUAGCUAAUACCGGAUACGACCCUCGGAGGCAUCUCCUGGGGGUGGAAAGAAUUUCGGUCAAGGAUGGACUCGCGGCCUAUCAGCUAGUUGGUGAGGUAAAGGCUCACCAAGGCGACGACGGGUAGCCGGCCUGAGAGGGUGACCGGCCACACUGGGACUGCGACACGGCCCAGCCUCCUACGGGAGGCAGCAGUGGGGAAUAUUGCGCAAUGGGCGCAAGCCUGAUGCAGCAACGCCGCGUGAGGGACGACGGCCUUCGGGUUGUAAACCUCUUUUAGCAGGGAAGAAGCGAAAGUGACGGUACCUGCAGAAAAAGCACCGGCUAACUACGUGCCAGCCGCCGCGGUAA